UGGCAGUGUGGUUAGCUGGUUGCAGCCGGUGACAACGGCUAUCAACACUGCCGUCC
rnacentral:pre_miRNA from 1 species